CCUACGGGUGACAGCAGUGGGGAAUAUUGGGCAAUGGACGCAACUCUGACCCAGCAACGCCGCGUGAAUGAAGAAGGCUUUCGGAUUGUAAACUUCUUUUCUAAGGGACGAAGAAAGUGACGGUACCUUAGGAAUAAGCCACGGCUAACUACGUGCCAGCAGCCGCGGUAAUACGUAGGAGGCAAGCGUUAUCCGGAUUGAUUGGGUGUAAAGGGUGCGUAGGCGGGAGCGCAAGUCAGAUGUGAAACCUCGGGGCUCAACCCUGGGACUGCUAUUGAAACUGUGUUUCUUGAGUGCUGGAGAGGCAAUCGGAAUUCCUAGUGUAGCGGUGAAAUGCGUAGAUAUACGGAGGAACACCAGUGGCGAAGGCGGAUUGCUGGACAGUAACUGACGCUGAGGCGCGAAAGCGUGGGGAGCAAACAGGAUUAGAUACCCUAGUAGUC
rnacentral:rRNA from 1 species